rnacentral:tRNA from 1 species
ACUUAAAUAGUUUAAAUAAAAUUCUAGUUUGUGGUUCUAGGGAUGUAAAUUUUACUUUAAGUA